UAUCUGUCCUGGUGUUAACUAGUAGCAUCGCCUGGGAAAAGUAUGGAAAAGAGUCUAAGCUUUUAUCUGGAUAAUUCUCGCAUCAAAUAAUGAAUGAGUCAAAUGCAGACUGUAACCCAAUGACCCAACGUCCAACAUAUGUAUUCCGCAAGUUUCAAGGAAAUACAAUUUUUUUCUAUCACUACUGACUGCGUUUAGUAGGUUGUUUCUCUUUUUUUUGUCAAGACCCAAAAAAUAUGUGUCUAUGUGUAUUCCUUUACUGUGUGCAUAGAACGAGAGCAAUAUUUAGUUUAAUGUAAAUGAAGAAAUUCCAAAUUAUUAAUGAAAACCAUUCUUAAUUUGAAAAUAAUAAUAAAGUUGUAAUGUACUCAAAUCCAUUAUCUCAAGCUGACAUAAGUCCUUUGAUGUCGUCAAAAUUUGGCUCCAAAUGUAAUUUUUGUUGAAUCGUAUCCAGAACAUGUGGGUUCAAAUUUUGAAUGAAUUCUUAUAUACUCGAUACACUCCAGCAUAUUUUAUAUUAUGGAAGAAGUGUGUCAGUGAAUUCGCAUUCAUAAAAUCCCAACUUUCCUUUCAAUGUAUACGGUACAGAGACUCAGGCAAGAACAUGAAUGAAAAAUCCACACGAAGCGCGAAGUCGACGCUUUUGCUUGGAAUUGGACAUAUAAUGUUUAUAAGCAUAUAAAGAGAAAGAGAGGUGCCCCGAAGAACACGGAUACUGGAUGCAACACAUGUAAUGAAUGAAUGAAUGAAUUUGCGCUCUCGUUCAUGUAAUGUUACAGUCAUAUCACAAUAUAUAAAGUACAGCACAGUAUUGUAGGAAUCAAGAAUGAACCCAUACGUAACAAAAUUCAGGAAAUUAUUACGAUAGCAG